AUGGUGACAGAGAAUGCCCCUUGGAUCAGAAGAGCUUUGAUGUCAUGCAACAUGGGGCACUGUGUCCCAGCACGGAGGAACGUGACCAAGACACACCUCAACAGCUGCUUCUCCUUUCUGUUGUUGAUGACCAGGCAUUUUUUUUCGUCGAAUCACCUGGGACAGGCCAGGGAUCACCUCUCCGUGCAGGAAUCUGACUGGAGCCUCUCUCCUCUGCUCCCUGGACAUGGUUAUGAGACACACAGGACACAUCUACCUCACUGGACACAGAAAAACUCUCUUUAGCAUUCAUUCUCGAAAAUAUCAUUUGACUCUAUCAGCUCUACCUGGGCAUUCAGUGUUUACACUUACAUUGAGGACUGCAGCAGCUGUGAGGAGAUUACACCAUGCUGUUGUCUGUCUCAGACCUGGGGAAGGUGCAGGCAGUUGGGGGCAGAAGAGGUCGAAAUGCUGGAACCAAUGAUGAGGCUUUUGUCUGUCCCCUUGUUGCCUGCCCUGCCUGCUUGUAUCUAUCAUCGAUGUAUCAGUUAUCUUUCUGCACGUCUCCAGAGCAACGAAGGCAAACGGAAUCGUGACAAGUCCCUUUCAGUCAACACCUGAGUCGACCUUACUGAUGUGAUUUUUGAAGGUCUCUAGAUAAUCCUGGGGUGGUGGCCAGUUGCCGGGGGAACCAACCAGAUGCUCGGAGGAUUUCGACUCAUGGCCCCAUCUCUGGAGAGCGGCUGAGGCCAAGUUGACCACCAAGGGCCAAUAGCCUCCUCCCUCAUGGCUCCCUAGUGAAGCCUCUACACUCUGCCCCCCCCACCAAGGCCGAGUUCAGGGGCUUCCAGGAAGCUCAACAAGAACCCAGUCUCGUGCCUGGAGGCUGGCACACCCUAUCCAGCAGGCAGCAGCUCCUGUGCUCAGGCCUCUCCCAGGCCUGGCUGUAAGAUCCCUCCAUCUGGCUGUCAGCUGUGUCCUUUAAAGUAUCUUCUGUGAUGAACCAGUAGAUACGUUUUCCUCAGAUCUGUGAGUUGGUCUAGAAAAUUAAUAGAACCCAAGUGGGGGUGGGGUCACAGGAACCCCAGGCAAAACAAUCUGGAGCCUGUGACUGGCCCUGCAGGCUGGGGAGCUCCAUGGGACCGAGCCUCACCUCCGGGUGAAGGAGUCCAGCUGGAUUGAAAGAUGCCAGCUGGUAUCUUCUGAAGAAAGUUUUUUCUUCUUCCUUUCUUUCCUUUUUUUUUUUUUUUUUUUUGAGACAGGGUCUCUCUAUGCAGUUCAGGGUGCCCUUGAACUCACUAUGUGGCCCAGGCUGGCCUCAAACUCAUGGUGAUCCUCCUGUCUCAGCCUCCUGAGUGCUUGGAUUACUUGCGUGUGCCACCACACCUCAGAAAGGGUUUUAAAAGUGAUGUCAAGACUUAAUAUACAGAAAGUAGCAAAAUAAGAUACAACAUACCAUUCCCUGCCUUCUGUUUCCCUGCAGCCUCUCUCACCAUUCGUUAUACUGUGUAUUUUAUUCAUCUGUGAUGUCUCCAUAGGCUUGAAGAUAAGAUCCAAGGGAGAAAAAGCUGUCUUUUGGUUCUCUGCUGUAACGCCACGAAUGGCCUUUCCGUAUUUCCUCAACUUCAAUACAGGUAUUAACUGUAGUUUUGUUAGUCCUUCAAUAACAAGGGUAAUUUCUACUCCAGCACGGGGCAGAGCAGGGUUCAGGCCUAGCAGUCUGGUUCCAAAGAGGCCGUCAUAUCGUCCGAGUCUCCAUACGAAUAAGGACGCAGGAAUCACAGAGGUGAGGAACAGUCGAGGUUUCUCAGUGCUGUUCUUACUGGGGUAAAGCUUAGCUAAGAAAAAAGAUGCCGUCACCCACAGGAUCAGUGACAGCGCGGCCCUGUGGACACAGGCAGCGCGCUCCUCCACAGCACUGGGGCCCGGUAACUAGGGACGCUUCUGGUCUCCAGGCAGGGGAGGGGGGAGC
rnacentral:lncRNA from 1 species